AUUGAACGCUGGCGGCAUGCCUUACACAUGCAAGUCGAACGGUAACAGGUCUUCGGAUGCUGACGAGUGGCGAACGGGUGAGUAAUACAUCGGAACGUGCCUAGUCGUGGGGGAUAACUACUCGAAAGAGUGGCUAAUACCGCAUGAGAUCUACGGAUGAAAGCAGGGGAUCGCAAGACCUUGUGCUACUAGAGCGGCCGAUGGCAGAUUAGGUAGUUGGUGGGAUAAAAGCUUACCAAGCCGACGAUCUGUAGCUGGUCUGAGAGGACGAUCAGCCACACUGGGACGGAGACACGGCCCAGACUCCUACGGGAGGCAGCAGUGGGGAAUUUUGGACAAUGGGCACAAGCCUGAUACAGCAAUGCCGCGUGCAGGAUGAAGGCCUUCGGGUUGUAAACUGCUUUUGUACGGAACGAAAAGCCCCGGGUUAAUACCCUGGGGUCAUGACGGUACCGUAAGAAUAAGCACCGGCUAACUACGUGCCAGCCGCCGCCGUAA
rnacentral:rRNA from 1 species